UAGUAAAAUAAGCUAAACUAAGCUUUUGGGCCCAUACCCCAAACAUGUUGGUUAAAAUCCUUCUUUUACUA
rnacentral:tRNA from 4 species